rnacentral:pre_miRNA from 1 species
CAAGUACUCCCUCCGUUCGGAAUUACUUGUCAUCAAAAUGGAUGUGUCUAGAACUAAAAUACAUCUAGAUACAUCCAUUUCAAUGACAAGUAUUUUCGGAUGGUGGGAGUACAAG